CAAUAGCGUAUAUUAAAGUUGUUGCGGUUAAAAAGCUCGUAGUUGGAUUUCUGCUGAGAACGACCGGUCCGCCCUUUGGGUGUGUAUCUGGCUCUUUCUUGGCAUCUUCUUGGUGAACGUUGCUGCACUUGACUGUGUGGAGCGCUACCCAGGACUUUUACUUUGAGGAAAUUAGAGUGUUUCAAGCAGGCAUACGCCUUGAAUACAUUAGCAUGGAAUAAUAAGAUAGGACCUCGGUUCUAUUUUGUUGGUUUCUAGAGCUGAGGUAAUGAUUAAUAGGGAUAGUUGGGGGCAUUCGUAUUUAACUGUCAGAGUUGAAAUUCUUGGAUUUGUUAAAGACUGACUACUGCGAAAGCAUUUGCCAAGGAUGUUUUCAUUGA
rnacentral:rRNA from 1 species